ACAGAGGGGGCGAGCGUUGUUCGGAAUUACUGGGCGUAAAGGGCGCGUAGGCGGCCCGCUAAGUCAGACGUGAAAUCCCCCGGCUCAACCGGGGAACUGCGUCUGGGACUGGCGGGCUCGAAUCCGGGAGAGGGAUGCGGAAUUCCAGGUGUAGCGGUGAAAUGCGUAGAUAUCUGGAGGAACACCGGUGGCGAAGGCGGCAUCCUGGACCGGCAUUGACGCUGAGGCGCGAAAGCCAGGGGAGCAAACGG
rnacentral:rRNA from 1 species